rnacentral:rRNA from 1 species
UCGCUUGCCAGGGAACUACGAGCCCCAGCUUAAAACCCAAAGGACUUGGCGGUGCUUUAGACCCCCCUAGAGGAGCCUGUUCUAUAACCGAUAACCCCCGUUCAACCUCACCCCCUCUUGUUCUCCCCGCCUAUAUACCGCCGUCGUCAGCUUACCCUGUGAAGGACUAACAGUGAGCGUAAUUGGCACAGCCCAAAACGUCAGGUCGAGGUGUAGCGUAUGAGGGGGGAAGAAAUGGGCUACAUUCACUGGACCAGUGAAAACGGACGAUACCUUGAAACACUUAUCUGAAGGAGGAUUUAGCAGUAAGGAGGCACUAGAGCGCCCCCUCUGAA